GAUGAACGCUAGCGGCAGGCCUAAUACAUGCAAGUCGGACGGGAUUUGGGAGCUUGCUCCCAAUGAGAGUGGCGCACGGGUGCGUAACACGUAUGUAACCCUACCUUUAUCAGGGGGAUAGCCUCUCGAAAGAGAGAUUAACACCGCAUAACAUCAUUGGAUAGCAUUAUUUAAUGAUCAAAUAUUUAUAGGAUAAAGAUGGGCAUG
rnacentral:rRNA from 1 species